UGGGGAAUAUUGGACAAUGGGCGCAAGCCUGAUCCAGCCAUGCCGCGUGUGUGAAGAAGGCCUUUUGGUUGUAAAGCACUUUAAGCGAGGAGGAGGCUACUUGGAUUAAUACUCUAGGAUAGUGGACGUUACUCGCAGAAUAAGCACCGGCUAACUCUGUGCCAGCAGCCGCGGUAAUACAGAGGGUGCGAGCGUUAAUCGGAUUUACUGGGCGUAAAGCGUGCGUAGGCGGCUUCUUAAGUCGGAUGUGAAAUCCCUGAGCUUAACUUAGGAAUUGCAUUCGAUACUGGGAAGCUAGAGUAUGGGAGAGGAUGUAGAAUUCCAGGUGUAGCGGUGAAAUGCGUAGAGAUCUGGAGGAAUACCGAUGGCGAAGGCAGCCAUCUGGCCUAAUACUGACGCUGAGGUACGAAAGCAUGGGGAGCAAACAGG
rnacentral:rRNA from 1 species